UAAGAUAAUUUUCUCUACUCAUUAUCUU
rnacentral:sRNA from 1 species